rnacentral:rRNA from 1 species
GAGGGAAAGGUGAAAAGCCCCCCGACGAGGGGAGUGAAACAGUACCUGAAACCGAACGCCUACAAUCAGUUGGAGGGCCCUUGCGGCCUGACAGCGUACCUUUUGUAUAAUGGGUCAUCGACUUGGUCUAUCUAGCAAGCUUAAGCCGUUAGGUGUAGGCGCAGCGAAAGCGAGUCUUAAUAGGGCGCAUGAGUUAGAUGGAUCAGACCCGAAACCGAGUGAUCUAGGCAUGACCAGGCUGAAGGUAAGGUAACACUUACUGGAGGGCCGAACCCACAUCUGUUGAAAAAGAUCGGGAUGAGUUGUGCCUAGGGGUGAAAGGCCAAUCAAACUCGG